GGGGGUACACGAGCGGCGAACGGGUGAGUAACACGUGAGCAAUCUGCCCAUCACAUCGGGAUAACUCCGGGAAACCGAAGCUAAUACCGAAUACGACCACCUCCGGCAUCGGAUGGUGGUGGAAAGUUCCGGCGGUGAUGGAUGAGCUCGCGGCCUAUCAGCUUGUUGGUGGGGUAAUGGCCUACCAAGGCUUCGACGGGUAGCCGGCCUGAGAGGGUGACCGGCCACACUGGGACUGAGACACGGCCCAGACUCCUACGGGAGGCAGCAGUGGGGAAUAUUGGACAAUGGGCGAAAGCCUGAUCCAGCAACGCCGCGUGAGGGAUGACGGCCUUCGGGUUGUAAACCUCUUUCAGCAGGGACGAAGCGCAAGUGACGGUACCUGCAGAAGAAGCACCGGCCAACUACGUGCCAGCAGCCGCGGUAAUACGUAGGGUGCGAGCGUUGUCCGGAAUUAUUGGGCGUAAAGGGCUCGUAAGCGGUCUGUCGCGUCGGGAGUGAAACUCAGGGCUUAACCCUGAGCCUGCUUCCGAUACGGGCAGACUAGAGGUAUGCAGGGGAGAACGGAAUUCCUGGUGUAGCGGUGAAAUGCGCAGAUAUCAGGAGGAACACCGGUGGCGAAGGCGGUUCUCUGGGCAUUACCUGACGCUGAGGAGCGAAAGUGUGGGG
rnacentral:rRNA from 1 species